GGGCUGUUAGCUCAUCGGUAGAGCGCGCCCCUGAUAAGGGCCGAGGUACCUGGUUCAACCCCAGGACGGCCUA